rnacentral:rRNA from 1 species
GACGAACGCUGGCGGCGUGCCUAACACAUGCAAGUCGAGCGAGUUGAUUCUCUUCGGAGAUGAAGCUAGCGGCGGACGGGUGAGUAACACGUGGGCAACCUGCCUCAUAGAGGGGAAUAGCCUCCCGAAAGGGAGAUUAAUACCGCAUAAGAUUGUAGCUUCGCAUGAAGUAGCAAUUAAAGGAGCAAUCCGCUAUGAGAUGGGCCCGCGGCGCAUUAGCUAGUUGGUGAGGUAACGGCGCACCAAGGCGACGAUGCGUAGCCGACCUGAGAGGGUGAUCGGCCACAUUGGGACUGAGACACGGCCCAGACGCCUACGGGAGGUAGCAGUGCGUAAUAUUGCACAAUAGGGGAAACCCGGAUGAUGCAAGGCGGCGUGCGUGACGGCGGCCUUCGGGUUGUAAAGCUCUGUCUUCAGGCACGAUAAUGACGGUACCUUAGGAGGAAGUCAAGGCUAACUACGUGCCAGCAGCCGCCGCGG